GGUAUUCUGUAGGAUUGCUAUUAAAAAGGUGUCCUGAAUAGUACAAAAUGAAAUGAGAUUUUAGGUUGAGCACUUUAUAUUUAUUUUGUUCCCUUUUUCUUUUCUUUAUUCUUCUUUUGCUGACCCAAAUAUAUUAGGAUUGAGAUGUUGUUGUUGGGGUAGGAAAUAGUGGCAGAGGAAAAGAUUAAGAAAGGAGGGCUUUUGGUGGGAUUUGAACCUUGUACCUGAAUGAGUAGGA
rnacentral:lncRNA from 1 species